UGGGGAAUUUUGCGCAAUGGGGGAAACCCUGACGCAGCAACGCCGCGUGAGUGAUGAAGGCCUUCGGGUCGUAAAGCUCUGUCAGAGGGGAAGAAAUGCAGGGGUGCUAAUAUCAUCUCUGCUUGACGGUACCCUCAAAGGAAGCACCGGCUAACUCCGUGCCAGCAGCCGCGGUAAUACGGAGGGUGCGAGCGUUGUUCGGAAUUAUUGGGCGUAAAGCGCGUGUAGGCGGUUUGGUAAGUCUGAUGUGAAAGCCCCGGGCUCAACCUGGGAAGUGCAUUGGAAACUGUCAGACUUGAAUACGGGAGAGGGUAGUGGAAUUCCUAGUGUAGGAGUAAAAGCCGUAGAGAUUAGGAGGAACACCGGUGGCGAAGGCGGCUACCUGGACCGAUGUUGACGCUGAGACGCGAAAGCGUGGGGAGCAAACG
rnacentral:rRNA from 1 species